rnacentral:rRNA from 1 species
AACGAACGCUGGCGGCAGGCUUAACACAUGCAAGUCGAACGCUCUCUUCGGAGAGAGUGGCAGACGGGUGAGUAACGCGUGGGAACCUACCUAGAAGUACGGAAUAACUCGAGGAAACUCGUGCUAAUACCGUAUACGCCCUCGGGGGAAAGAUUUAUCGCUUCUAGAUGGGCCCGCGUUGGAUUAGCUAGUUGGUGAGGUAAUGGCUCACCAAGGCUACGAUCCAUAGCUGGUCUGAGAGGAUGAUCAGCCACACUGGGACUGAGACACGGCCCAG